AGCCCCUAGCGCAGACGGCGGAGAGCAGAGAGGGAGCGCGCCUUGGCUCGCUGGCCUUGGCGGCGGCUCCUCAGGAGAGCUGGGGCGCCCACGAGAGGAUCCCUCACCCGGGUCUCUCCUCAGGGAUGACAUCAUCCGUCCACCUCCUUGUCUUCAAGGACCACCUCCUCUCCAUGCUGAGCUGCUGCCAAGGGGCCUGCUGCCCAUCUACACCUCACGAGGGCACUAGGAGCACGGUUUCCUGGAUCCCACCAACAUACAAAGCAGCCACUCACUGACCCCCAGGACCAGGAUGGCAAAGGAUGAAGAGGACCGGAACUGACCAGCCAGCUGUCCCUCUUACCUAAAGACUUAAACCAAUGCCCUAGUGAGGGGGCAUUGGGCAUUAAGCCCUGACCUUUGCUAUGCUCAUACUUUGACUCUAUGAGUACUUUCCUAUAAGUCUUUGCUUGUGUUCACCUGCUAGCAAACUGGAGUGUUUCCCUCCCCAAGGGGGUGUCAGUCUUUGUCGACUGACUCUGUCAUCACCCUUAUGAUGUCCUGAAUGGAAGGAUCCCUUUGGGAAAUUCUCAGGAGGGGGACCUGGGCCAAGGGCUUGGCCAGCAUCCUGCUGGCAACUCCAAGGCCCUGGGUGGGCUUCUGGAAUGAGCAUGCUACUGAAUCACCAAAGGCACGCCCGACCUCUCUGAAGAUCUUCCUAUCCUUUUCUGGGGGAAUGGGGUCGAUGAGAGCAACCUCCUAGGGUUGUUGUGAGAAUUAAAUGAGAUAAAAGAGGCCUCAGGCAGGAUCUGGCAUAGAGGAGGUGAUCAGCAAAUGUUUGUUGAAAAGGUUUGACAGGUCAGUCCCUUCCCACCCCUCUUGCUUGUCUUACUUGUCUUAUUUAUUCUCCAACAGCACUCCAGGCAGCCCUUGUCCACGGGCUCUCCUUGCAUCAGGUAGGGGCUUUGCAGAGACCAUCGACGGGCUGACUUGACCAAGCUUCUUGAAAGGCCUGUCUACACUUGCUGUCUUCCUUCCUCACCUCCAAUUUCCUCUUCAACCCACUGCUUCCUGACUCGCUCUACUCCGUGGAAGCACGCUCACAAAGGGCUAAUCUCGGGCCUUGUCGAAGGAAGAGGCUGCAGACGUUAAUGAGGUUAGCUGCUGGAUUCCAGUAUUCGUCGCAUAAGGAUCCUUCUUUGUCUGCGAAGGAAAAACACACUGAUUAUCAUAAUGAGGCACGUGGGCCGUGGCCCGGCUGGGUCGGCUGAAGAACUGCGGAUGGAAGCUGCGGAAGAGGCCCUGAUGGGGCCCACCAUCCCGGACCCAAGUCUUCUUCCUGGCGGGCCUCUCGUCUCCUUCCUGGUUUGGGCGGAAGCCAUCACCUGGAUGCCUACGUGGGAAGGGACCUCGAAUGUGGGACCCCAGCCCCUCUCCAGCUCGAAAUCCCUCCACAGCCACGGGGACACCCUGCACCUAUUCCCACGGGACAGGCUGGACCCAGAGACUCUGGACCCGGGGCCUCCCCUUGAGUAGAGACCCGCCCUCUGACUGAUGGACGCCGCUGACCUGGGGUCAGACCCGUGGGCUGGACCCCUGCCCACCCCGCAGGAACCCUGAGGCCUAGGGGAGCUGUUGAGCCUUCAGUGUCUGCAUGUGGGAAGUGGGCUCCUUCACCUACCUCACAGGGCUGUUGUGAGGGGCGCUGUGAUGCGGUUCCAAAGCACAGGGCUUGGCGCACCCCACUGUGCUCUCAAUAAAUGUGUUUCCUGUCUUAACAAAAAAAAAAAAAAAAAAAAAAAAAAAAAAAAAAA
rnacentral:lncRNA from 1 species